CCUACGGGAGGCUGCAGUAGGGAAUUUUCGUCAAUGGGCGCAAGCCUGAACGAGCGAUGCCGCGUGAGUGAAGAAGGCCUUCGGGUCGUAAAGCUCUGUUGCGGGGGAAAAAAGGCAGCAUCAGGAAAUGGGUGCUGACUGAUGGUGCCCCGCCAGAAAGUCACGGCGAACUCCGUGCCAGCCGCCGCGGUAAUACGUAGGUGGCGUGCGUUAUCCGGAAGGAUUGGGCGUAAAGGGGGCGCAGGCGGUACUGCAAGUCUGGAGUGAAACGCAUGAGCCCAACGCAUGCAUGGCUGUGGAAACUGGAGGACGGGAGAGCAGGAGAGGGCGGUGGAACGCGAGGUGUAGCGGUAAAAUGCGUAGAUAUAGGGAAGAACACCAGUGGCGAAGGCGGCCGCCUGGCCUGUUGCUGACGCUGAGGCACGAAAGCGUGGGGAGCAAAUAGGAUUAGAUACCCCAGUAGUC
rnacentral:rRNA from 1 species